UAACCCUAGUUGCACAGGAGCAGGAGCACCGUUUGGCUCUACAAGACUUCCCUUUUUCUAUUUAAUUCCUAAAAUCCCAUUCUUCUAGGCUCAUUCCUCUGCACUGCCAUCAUCCCCAACUUCCUCACAAGGUUACAAGGACUAAAGAGUUGUGCCACCAUGUCGGACGAUGAAAGGGAGGAGAAAGAGUUGGAUCUCUCUUCUGCCGAAGUUGUCACCAAAUACAAAACCACUGCUGAGAUCGUUAACAAAUGUAAACCGAAGGCGAAGAUUGUGGAUAUUUGUGAGAAAGGGGAUUCAUACAUUAGAGAGUAAGCUUAUAAUAUUCAUAAAUGAAGGAGCAUUGCCUGUUCUUAACAUAUAUUGAUAUGGCAUGCCAUAUAGAUGGAUUCAUCACUGCGGUAGCUCACACCCAUGUUCUUCAGGAAGGUCCUGUUGCUGCCACAAAUACUGCUGCUGAGGUGGCCUUGAGGCUUGUCAGGCCGGGAAAGAAGGUAAUCAAUUGUAACAAUUUUUUUUUACUGGAUCUGCAUUUAUAUAAUACAAGUUGAUUUGGAUUUUACUACAUGUUGCCUUUCUUGAUUUAUUUCAUUGGUUAAUAGGUGUAAGGUCAUACACUAUUAUAAGCUAUUCAGCUUAGUAAAAUCGGAGAGAAAUUAGGUUGCUUCAUGUGUAUCGUUUUCUUUGCCUAAACACAUGCCUUGUGGAUUUUGAUCUCUAAAUGAUGAAAACUAUCUUGGGCUACGGAUAAACUCCGAUGAAGCUUUAUUGUCAUAGUUACACUGAUAGAGGUCAUUCAUGUUUCUUCUUGUGUUGUCUAUCACAUUGCUCUUUUUUGGAACUCCUCUUGUCUAUAAUGUGUAUUUCUCACCUUAUGCUAUAUGUUUUGUUCUUUUGAGAUUAAUUGGUUCUCAGUUCAAGUGUUUUUUUAUCUACAUGAUGAAUGCUGUCAUGCAUUUGCAUAAAAAACUUGAUUUGUUCUCUAUUCUGAUUCAAAUUGUGGUAAAAAAAUUCAGCUGGAUAUGUCUGUUUU